AAUAUGUGAAAAUCAAGGCAAAUCAAUGAUUCUGUGCCCUCACCUAUGUUUAUACCUGUGGUCUGACAACUACUUUCUGUUACUACUCAACCCCCUCUAAGUACUAAAUUACCUUUUACACCUGAGCCUCUCAAGCCUCCGUACUAGUUCUGAAAAUCAAUGUCACUGGUUACCUGAAAAUGCUUCUGAAUAAUUACUCUUUCAACACACUGUACUAUUACAUAUGACAUAGCUCAGUCUAUGAUAGCUGACUAUAAAACGUGACAACUAUCUUCAAGCCAGCUGGAUAUUUUGAAUUUCAAAAAGAACACAUGAGAACAAGUCAAAAAGUAACGAUGAUGGUGACUACUGAUUUUUGAGCUUUUACUAUGUGCUCAGUACUGUGCCAAGUAGCUUACAUGCAUUAUCUCAAUGUUUAAUAGGUGUGUUUUGUUAUUUUCAUUUUAUAGGCAGGAAACUGAAGCUCAGAUAGGUUAAAAUAUUUCAGCCAGGCACGGUCAUACAGCUUCUAGAAGAAUCUGAACUUGUAUUAGGGUCUGUGAAUACUAAAAAUGAGAAAUCAUUCUCCUUCUAUGGCUUAGCAAAACUUAUCUCAGCUGAGAAUCUGUUGCUUUUAUAAUCCUAGUAAUUAAGCCAGGCUCUAGACAUCUUUACCAAAAUAUCUGCAAUUUG
rnacentral:lncRNA from 1 species